UACAGAGGGGCAAGCGUUAUUCGGAAUUAUUGGGCGUAAAGGGCGCGUAGGCGGCUUGGCAAGUGGAAGGUGAAAUCCCUCGGCUUAACCGAGGAACUGCCCUCCAAACUGCUUAGCUUGAGACCGGGAGAGGUGAGUGGAAUUCCCAGUGUAGCGGUGAAAUGCGUAGAUAUUGGGAGGAACACCAGUGGCGAAGGCGGCUCACUGGACCGGUACUGACGCUGAGGCGCGAAAGCGUGGGGAGCAAACGGGG
rnacentral:rRNA from 1 species